UACGUAGGGGGCGAGCGUUGUCCGGAAUUAUUGGGCGUAAAGGGUUCGUAGGCGGUUUUUUAAGUCAGAUGUGAAAGGUCACGGCUCAACCGUGGUAAGCAUUUGAAACUGAAAGACUUGAGUUAAGGAGAGGAAAGUGGAAUUCCUAGUGUAGCGGUGAAAUGCGUAGAUAUUAGGAGGAAUACCAGUGGCGAAGGCGACUUUCUGGACUUAUACUGACGCUGAGGAACGAAAGCGUGGGGAGCAAACAGG
rnacentral:rRNA from 1 species